AGCACACACUCACUUUAUCUGACUCGUGUCGCUUGGAAGGGCAAGAGUGCUUCAGACACAGAGACACAGAGGGAAGACUAUGUGAAGACGCAGGGAGAAGACAGCCAUCUACGAGCCAAGGAAAGAGGGCUCAGAAGAAAUCAACCCUGAUGACAUCUUGAUUUUGGACUUCUAGUCUUCAGAACUGAAUACUGUAAGAUGACGCCUUGGGAGCAGAUGGAGAAUGUCUUUGUCUGCAACACUGAAGCCACAGAGCAGUAAGCCAACACUAACACUGGGGACAACCAUCCACAUCUGUGUCACUCCCACAGAUGCUGAGAAGACAACUCCCAAUAUGGGGCAAAUGCAUGGACUUGGGAAAUGUCCUUUCUUGUGGGAGAAGAAAAAGAGAAAGUACACUUCUGACACAUUCAGCAAACAGGGAGUUAAGCAUACUGGGCCGCCUUCCCUAAUGUGUGUGUAGUGACACAGUCAAGGAGGUCACCAUGGAUACAUCUGGCUGCAUCUGCCUGAGUUAUUUGUAUUGAACAGAUUGCUACAGGGUGUUUUUUUUCUGGUCCCAUUAUGUGCAUGUAAUGCCAAUUAAAUAACAGAAAUGAAAAUUAAAAAAGAAAAUAUCUGCCCCUGCUGGGUUUAAUCUCAUUAGCGCAAAGUCAAAUGAUUAGUCCCAAAAAAAAAGGCUCCAACAGGCAGCAAAGACAGCAGUAAAGCUGCAAGUAUCUUUUGCAUCACACCGAGAAAAUGAAUCAGAAUUGCUCACUCAGUUGAAGACACCAGAGCCUUUCCUAUCAUAAGACCAUGUUAUGGCUUGAGGACUAUUGAGUUGGGUCUCUACCUGAAUGAACAACAGGGAGACUACCAUAGCACAUCCCAAACUUCAAAUUAAUAAUAAAAAAAAUUGCUACGUCAGCCAUUUUAAGGACAGGUGUCGUGUUUCCUUGGGUGGAUUGUAAAACUUGGCAGAUGUUUACUUUAUAGUGCUCUAAGACUAACAUAAUCUUUAAGCAUCAGAUUAUUUUUCAGAUUAAUCAAACCUUCCAGCUAUAAUGUUGCCACCAG
rnacentral:lncRNA from 1 species